GAUGAACGCUGGCGGCGUGCUUAACACAUGCAAGUCGAACGAGAAUCAACGGAUUGAGGAUUCGUCCAAAUGAAGUUGAGGAAAGUGGCGGACGGGUGAGUAACGCGUGGGUAACCUGCCUCAUACAGGGGGAUAACAGUUGGAAACGGCUGCUAAUACCGCAUAAGCGCACAGUACCGCAUGGUACCGUGUGAAAAACUCCGGUGGUAUGAGAUGGACCCGCGUCUGAUUAGCUAGUUGGUGGGGUAACGGCCUACCAAGGCGACGAUCAGUAGCCGACCUGAGAGGGUGACCGGCCACAUUGGGACUGAGACACGGCCCAA
rnacentral:rRNA from 1 species